rfam:Nesterenkonia sp. AN1 contig-4, whole genome shotgun sequence.
UCCGGUCCUCGGUAGUAGCCUCCGGGAGGCACGAGACGUGCCAGGCCCGUGGGCUUCGAUCGAUGACCGAC